rnacentral:lncRNA from 10 species
UCUUCUCGUCUGUCGCCAUGUGAGAUGUACCUUUCACUUUCCUCCAUGAUUGUGAGGCCUCCUUAGCCACAUGGAACUUAUUUAAGUCAACAGAUGGAAGAGUGUCAUGGAAGCGUGCCUGUGAGGAAGAAACUGGAGCAAAAAAGAUGGAAACCCCAGCAAGGACGAUGAGUCCCAGCAAUUCUCCUGCCUCAGCCUCCCGAGUAGCUGGGACUACAGGCACAUGCCACCAUGCCUGGCUAAUUUCUGUAUUUUUUUAAGUAGACAUGAGGUUUCAUCAUAUCGGCCAGGCUGAUCUCAAACUCCUGACCUCAUGAUCCACCUGCCUUGGCCUCCCAAAGUGCUGGAAUUAUAGGCGUGAGCCACUGCGCCCGGCCUGCAAUUGUGGAAAUUUUAUUAUGUCCCAGGCCCUGGCAAUCACUAUUCCAGUCUCUGCUUCUAUGAGUUUGACUAUUUCAGAUUCCACAUGUAGGAAAUGCUGGAGUCCUUCAUCCGAAUGGUAAAUGGCACUUGUGACAAAAAUCAAAGUAACUAAAAAAGAAUCUGGUUGAAACCUCAGUAACAGUUGGCCUGUCUACUGCCUCACACUAACAAGGGGGAGCUAAUAAAACCGAGGUUAGAACACACAAUGUGGAAAUGAAAACCUUAUUCUUGUCAAUGGAUGGAGGGUGGUGACCCCCACCUUUACAAGUGUCUGUAAUUCUCACUAGCAGUAUAUUAGAGGGCAAAAGAUUUGAACAGACACAUCAGAAAAGAAGACAUACAAAUGGCCGCUAAGCACUUGAAAGGAUUCUGAACACCAUUAGUCAUCAGUGAAAUGCAAAUUAAAGCCAUAAUGAAUGGCGCUAUACAUUUUCAGAAUGGCAAGGAUUGAAGACCGAAAAAAAUCAAGCGUUGAGGAGAGUGACAAAUGGGGAGACAGCCGUGGUGCAUGAUCGCCGAAUAAAUACCAUGUGAGGAUACAGCAAGAAGGUGGCCAUCUACAAGCCAAGGAGACAGGCCUCAGAAGAAACCAACCCUUCUUACACCCUGGACUCAGACUUCUAAUCUCCAGAACUUGUUAAUGCACAAGGUCUUGUGUUGAAAAUGUAGAGCCACGAGAUAAAAGCAGCUUGGAUGGCUGACUCAUAUACAAGGACAACUGCCUGAGAGUCACCAGGGCUAUCAAGAAGUUUGCAGAAACAAGAAAUAAACUUUUACUGUUUUAAACUUUUGUGAAUUUUGGGUUUUGUUUAUCACCAAAUAAACCUAGUCUAUUCUGAUUGUUAUAAGUGGUUAAUUUGGGAAGUCAGAUAUAUUUAAAAUUGGCUUACUGCUGUAACAUAUACAGUCCAAAUUACAUAAUGGCUCAAAUGCAAUAGAAGUCUUUUUUUUUUUUGCUCACAUAUCACUUCACUGAGAUUCUGCAUUAAUUGUAAUGAUGAGGGUGAGGGUGUCUUAUAUCAUACAGUUGUUCAGCAACCCAGGAUGACCAACUUUGUAAUAUUUUUUCCCACUGGCUUCUAAAGUUCUCAUAGAUAGUAAAAUUCAUUUGGAAGAAGGAGAAACAGCAUGGAGGAUUGCAGAUGGAGAUUUUUAUGGGAAGGCUUGGAGGUUUGGAGGUUACACAUUACUACUUUUACUUGUUGGCUAGGAAACUAUCACGUGGUCACACCUAAGUGCCAGUGAGUCUGACAAUGUGGCAAUUUGGUUGCGGGCCAGGGGUAAGAGGCAAUAAAUUUUGCUCAAUAAUUAUCAGUUUUUGCCACAGAUGGAGGGACUUUUCAUUGUAUAACUAGUUGUUACUGUUUGAAUUUAAAACAGGAAAAUAUCAUUUUCAAAUAAAAACACAAAAGUGGCACAAAAAAUUCUUAUGAUUUUUUUUGCUUGAAUUUUGUGCAUUUAUUUGGCUAUUAUUAAAGUAAAUAAUUCUCUUUAUAGAAAAUGUAGAAAAUAACAAAAAAUAAAUAAGCAGAAAGUCAUCCAAUAACCCCCAUGAUCCCAGCAUAAUAAUCUUUUUUAAGGUAACUGAAAUGACCAUCCUUCUUUUACAAUUGCAAACGCUAACACCCAGGGAUUUUAAGAAAUUUGUCAACUCUAGUAAGUGGUAGAGCACAGAGAAAAGAAAAGCCAGGGAAGCUUUUACAGAGCAGGAGACAAGGAUAGAAAAGGACUUAUGAAUGGGGAAACACAAUUGACAAAUUAUUUUAAAAUAUUGCAGGUUUAAUCGCAUGGAGAGAGAGAGCAUAGAACACGAGAAAUAUACCAAAACAA